rnacentral:rRNA from 1 species
GACGAACGCUGGCGGCGUGCUUAACACAUGCAAGUCGAACGGAAAGGCCUGCUUUCCCUUGUGGAUUGCGGGUACUCGAGUGGCGAACGGGUGAGUAACACGUGAGUGAUCUGCCCCCAACUUGGGUAUAAGCCUGGGAAACUGGGUCUAAUUCCCGAUAGGACUGCAGGGUGGUGCCUGUGGUGGAAAACGAUUUUCUAGUGGUUGGGGAUGAGCUCGCGGCCUAUCAGCUUGUUGGUGGGGUAAUGGCCUACCAAGGCGGCGACGGGUAGCCGGCCUGAGAGGGUGGACGGCUACAUUGGGACUGAGAUACGGCCCAGACUCCUACGGGAGGCAGCAGUGGGGAAUAUUGCACAAUGGGCGGAAGCCUGAUGCAGCGACGCCGCGUGGGGGAUGACGGCUUUCGGGUUGUAAACUCCUUUCGACCGCGAGGAAGCCACCUGGUUGGAAGGGUGGUGACGGUAGUGGUAGAAGAAGCACCGGCUAACUACGUG